rnacentral:miRNA from 1 species
AAGAAUUCUAUCGAGUCUCAGAGGGAGCAUGGCCCUGCCAAUACCUUUAUUUUGGACUUCUAGCCUCCAGAACUGUGGGAAAAUAAAUCUCUGUCAUUUGAAGCCACCCAGACUGUCGUACUUUGUAGGGGCAGCCCUAGGAA